GGGCAUUUGAAAACCAUGGGGCUGACUCUCAACUGGGAAGCUCCUCCCAGCUGCAGAGAGAUUUAUAAUACUGGUGUCCCUCAGCAAAAGGCUCUGACAUCAAGGCAGAAUCCCAGAGAUCCUGCAUGCCAUGUACAGAAAGAGAGGAAAGUGCUGCGAGAUGCGGCCCCAAGGGCACGCUGCUAAUCGAAAGGUUGGCCUCCCGCCCCGCUGCUAAAAAAGUUUGUGUAUGACAAAAUCAGCCUCUAUCAUCACCACUGCUGGAGGGCUUCAGAUGGAUCCUUCCUCCAAGGAGGAGUGCGAGAGUGGCCCAUGAGUCCCUUCAGAGGUCGGAGGGCACUGGUGGAGACCCCUCAGUGCUGUCAACACGGAGAGAGGAGCUUAGUGCCAACUCUUGUUCUCACAAUGUGAUUUUUGUGUUUCGAAAGCUUGAAUUAUCCUUGAUGCUAUCGGUGUGUGUUUUAUAUUCCAUGAUGGUGUUGGGAGGUAGGUUGAGCACUCUUCGUAACGUGUCGCGUAUCCGGGCUGUCGUGGCCUGGUCGCUGGCUGUCUUGUUCCAUAUCGAGAUAAUAUCCUCCUGGAAUCGGACAGAGACGACCGCCCCACAGAUUUCUUCGCCCACCAUGAACUGCUCUCCAAGCAUCGCCAGAAUGAGAUUCUCCCAACAUCGUGAUGCUAAGCCCUUCCGCAGACGGAUAAUCCAUUUACCACCAUUUUUGUUGGCAUCAUCCUCCCACAUGGGUUUGAUGCCCUCUUUGAAAAGAUGGAAGUCACUAUGGCCUGUCAGGUCCCCAGGACGUACCAUGUGACUGUAAAACCGCCAGAACUGCUCCACUGAGGCAAAGGUGCCAAUCUGUUUGAUGUUCUGUUCAUAACUCUGCGAGCUGGUAGGCCUCCCAGGUGUUCGUCUGGAGUACCAGAAAGUGUAAUUAUACUGCAAGGGGUGCUCAGCUGGUCCUGGGACAACUGCCUUCCUCUUGGUGGUACUCUGUGGUUUCUCUCGAUCAUUCUUUUCCUUCUCACUGUCUUUCUGUGUGUUAUUCUCCUCAUUCUGGUCAUGGUCUCCACUAUCAUCAUCUUUCAAUGCGUCGAAUUUGUUGUUCAUCGUCGCUCGCUGCCGCCACCCCCGUCCACCUCAGCGACUUCCGCUUCGCCGAGUCCGCUCUCCAAAGCCUUCCGCCACUUCCUGCGGCGACAGCGACGCCAUGCUCCCCGCCCCGGCAUCAUGGGGGCGGAGCGCGGCGGAAGUGGAAAAAAGACACUUCCGGUUGCCAUCUUGGUCCUUGUGUGCAGUAGCACGGGGUGGGCUGGGGGUGUCUUGCAGCUGUUCCUGGCUCCAUUCUGCAGCACAGAAAUGAGGAUUCAAGAAGGCAGAAUACGUGUAGGCUUUUAUUUAGGAACUCACGAUGCCCAAUACAGCUUGCACUGCAGGACUGGGGCAGCUGAAUCAGCUCGAUUUUCCCUAUGACACUGCCAUGAGCAAGGACAGUGACACAUAAAAGUGCAGAUGUGUGCAUUUCUCACUUCCAGAUACACCAUCGUUUAGAGGAAAAGCUAUCAUAAAGCGAUAGUGGUGGCAUCUGAGCCAGUUGUGAAGAAAUCUGUGGUCACUUGGAACAUGUUGGUGCCUGAAUAUAGAUUGUGGGUCAUCCUUUGCCUGCAGAUAUAAGGGAGGUGAUGAGCUUUGAGAAUCUUUUGAUACUGUAACAGAUUUCCAGCAAGAGAGAUUUAUCCAUACGUGCAUAUCCACAGAAUCCAUACUGAGUUGGUGAAAUUGGAAAGACAGCAGCUCUGUAGCUCUACUAGAAAAAUAAUCUUACUGACUGAGGAAUGUAGUGCACAAUCAGCUUUAUUCCAGUCUAGGGUGGAACAACAUUACUAUCUCUGUGGUGACUGCCAAGGAACACCAUUGUAGCACUUCAUAUGAUGAACUCUCAAAAGAUGAAGAGGCAUCUUUCUGCACUAGUGUUUUCCAGGGUACUGGUGAAGACAGUAUGUCUAUGAAGCUCUGGAGAGUUUGAUUAGGCACAGUUUCCACAUGUGCAUUGGCUUCUGCAAUUUGCUCUCAGAAAUCCACUGUCAAUGUUGUGUUGCUGAACCCACAUCUCAGGAACAUCUGUAGGCAGGACUGCGUCACUUUGGAGGUGGGUGCAGGCCUCCUCCUUUGCAAUUGUUGGAAACAAAGAUGUUGCCAACGGAUUGUGAAAUAUGCUGACCAUACUGACAACUCAUG
rnacentral:lncRNA from 1 species